AUGCACGCUGGCGGCGUGCCUCAUACCUGCAAGUCGAGCGCACAGACGAGGAGCUUGCUCCUCUGACGUUAGCGGCGGACGGGUGAGCAACACGUGGAUAACCUACCUAUAAGACUGGGAUAACUUCGGGAAACCGGAGCUAAUACCGGAUAAUAUAUUGAACCGCAUGGUUCAAUAGUGAAAGACGGUUUUGCUGUCACUUAUAGAUGGAUCCGCGCCGCAUUAGCUAGUUGGUAAGGUAACGGCUUACCAAGGCAACGAUGCGUAGCCGACCUGAGAGGGUGAUCGGCCACACUGGAACUGAGACACGGUCCAGACUCCUACGGGAGGCAGCAGUAGGGAAUCUUCCGCAAUGGGCGAAAGCUUGACGGAGCAACGCCGCGUGAGUGAUGAAGGUCUUCGGAUCGUAAAACUCUGUUAUUAGGGAAGAACAAAUGUGUAAGUAACUAUGCACGUCUUGACGGUACCUAAUCAGAAAGCCACGGCUAACUACGUG
rnacentral:rRNA from 1 species